CGCUGUGCGAGCCGGCGGUAUGGUCUCCACCAUUCUUUCCGUGUCACGGAUGGCUUUCGUCUGGAGAGCAACAAGUAAGGCAGUCCGCCCGGGAUCCGGAGAGUUGGGGGCCCGCUGAGGAAGCCGAGUUCCGAAAUGCGAGGGCGCAGGCUCAGAGACCGGGCCGGCCGCGGUGGCUGCAGAAGCAUUCGCGGUGCUUGGCGUAGGGGCAGGUGGUUUUCGAGAAGCGCCCGGCUCUUAGGAUCAUCUCUUCUGAAUCACUCUUUGAGGAAAAAGAGUUCUCAAGAAGGAAAGCCUGAGCCUUCAAAGCAAGCCCUUAAGAAAUCAAAGCUGCCAGUUGGUCGUUUUGACUCACUGGACGAUUCACCAGAGGAGAGAGACCCACUGCAGAGUGAGUAGUGGUUAGUAAACCACUGUCUCUGCUUAAACAUGGCAAGACCGAUGUUCAUUACUGGCAAAAGUGAAAGAAGGGAAAUAUGUUCAUAAUUGUCAUUAACAGUUAUAAAGGGAGUAGUGAGUAAAAGUACUGUAUGAAA
rnacentral:lncRNA from 1 species